CGCCGGCCCCCUCCCGCCACCGCGGUGAACUUUCCGCAGCGCGCACCCCGCCCCGCGGCCCGGCGGGGAAGGGAGGGAGCCAUGGCUUCCCGAAGCGCAGGAAUGAAGUGCGGUUUCGGGAGCCGCUUCUGGCCUGCGGUGGCCAGGCGACCGGCAAGGGGAAGCCGGCGUCCCGGGCACGGCGGGGCUGGGGGAGGGGGUCCUCAGCCCGGUGGGGACCUCUCUCCGAGGUGCCCGAGGUUUCUGCUAAUUACCUCGCAGGAGCCUCGGCCGGCCGAGAAAGACCCAUCUUGCUUUGGAGCAUCUGUUUCUUCAUCGCGUCAGCCCCUUUCCUAACACUGCAGAGCUUGUUGUGGCUUGUUUCGGAAAUGCCGAGGCGGGUGCUCACACUUCGGGGUGGGAGAGAGGAAGAGAGCAGGCAACCCUCCAUCCCCCUUCACACACCUCAAAAAAAAAAAAAAAAAAAAUCUCCGCAGUGUUCUUUACCGAGGAGCUUGCAGAUUCUCGUCGCACUUUCUUCACUGACUUGAAUGACCUUGGGGGAAAGGAUUGUGCUUCUGAGCGCCUCGUGGUGGCUUUUCUGUCUAUUGAGGAGAAAAUACUCUCCGGACCUCUCUGCCAUUUGGGGGAUAUUUUUGAGAAGUGGCGUUUGUUCAGGGCAUUUCGUUUUACCAACUGCUGUGGUUCUGGUUUAAGGAUCUGGAAUAGUGACAGAGCCGGGAAGAAUUCAGAUCACCUAGGAAGAUUUAGCAACCCCAGAUGAGGGGAGGAUAGUUCCUUUUGGAAAAUCUGUGCAGCAUGUUCCAGAUUGCCUUCUGUCACUGUGUGUGCAGCUUUGGUGGCAUUUGUGUGGUCAAAUUCUAUAACCCCCAUAGAAAAUUCUUCUCUUGUUAGAAAUAAUUGUUUUGCACAGAAUUUCCCCUUGGGGCAGAUUAAAGUUUUGCUCAAUUUACUCAGAAGAAUUUUCCAGGUUUCUAAAAUUAAAUCACUUUUCUAAACAUAGUAACUAAGGUUUGACAAAGUAGACAUAGUAGGGUGUGGAAGGGAUUGCUUGGACUAUGAAGGCAGGAAGUAUAGGUGCAUAGCUGACCGACCAUCCAUUAAUAACAAGGAUUUUAAGAAAAUUUAUUUUUAAUUGUGCGCCAGUGUAUGGGAAUGUUCACAUGAGUUCAAGGGCUCUCUAAGGCCAGAUCCCCUGAGUUGGAGUUCUAGGCAAUUAUGGUUCCUAGCUGCCUGACAUGUAUGCUGGAAACUGAACUUUGGUCUACUAGAAGAGCAAGAAGUGCUCUUAAACGUUUUGCCCUCUCUCUAGCUCCUAUAACAUGGAUUGUUAAUUAGCCCUCCUGAUUGGUUUUUUUUUUUAUUUUUACGCCUGAAGACCAAGAAAGGGAACAAAUAAUGUUGAGUUGCUACUCAAUAAUAUUGCUAGCUGGUGAGUAUAUUAUAUAGUCUCAAUAAGUCUGUGAAGUGCUAGUUGAGCAAAUUAAAGGUCAGAAUGUAUAAGUGACUAUUCCAAGCUCAUGCCUAUAACCAGUAAAAAGUGGCUCUGGAAUUUGAUACCAGGUCUGUUUGCUCCAUAUUAACUUCCAAUUGUAUACUGCCUUGGGAAACAAGAAACUUCAUUUCUAGAUCUUUGAGUCAGCCCAGUGGGUAAUUGUUGGACCACAGAGUGAUGUCAAUAUGCUUUGGAGGUAUGAUAGUGUUUUGGUACAAAGACUGCAUAAAAAUAUGUUCUGUAUACAGUAGGUGCUUAAUAUUUUGCUCAUGUUGGAAACAUUCAUAUUAAAACAGUGGUUGCCUAAGUUGGUCAUACAGUUUCAUCUGUAUAACACAAGUUGGUAGAAAGGUGUAAUGAUCCUGCAGUAGAGGCCACCAUUAAGAUGACAUCAGGAUCUAGAAAAUGAAACAUUUUCAUGGAACAGUUUUAGGGCAGUACCAACUAAGUAAAGCAUGCUACUUGUAGGACUCAGAUAAUCCAGCCUAAAGGAUUUGUUGUAAAUUUUGGUGCACAUAAUAGACACUCAAUAAAUUUAUUUGCUGAAUGAAUGAAUGUGUAUGUUAUUGAUAUAUAAUUUAUAUGUGAUAUAAUUGACCAAUGUUAGGUUAUAGUUUGAGCUUUGACAGAUAUAGUGUAUAGUUAUGAAGUCACUAAUACUACUAUGUUCUUUUAAACUUUAAGGAAUUGAUAGCAGAUUAGGAGAGGUUUCUAUGUUUAGGUUUACAAAACCUAAAGGCUAGGUUUUGUAGCCUUUUGUAGCCUUUGUGGGUUUUUUUUUUUUUUGUUGUUGUUGUUUUUUGUUUUGUUGGUUUUUUGAGACAGGGUUUCUCUGUGUAGCCCUGGCUGUCCCAGAACUUGCUUUGUAAACCAGGUGGAUCUUGUGAGUUCAAGACCAUCCUGGUCUGCAUAGGGAGUUCCAGGAUGGCCAGAGUUGCAUAGUGAGGCCCUGUUGCAAAAAUCAAAACAAAACAAAUUACAUUACAUAUGUAUGGAGGUCAGAGAACAACUUGGGUAUAUUUUACUCCUCAGGUCCUGGAGAUCAAACUCACAUUGUCAAACUUAGUAGCAAGUUCCUGUACUCAUUUUGCUCUUCCUCUUAAAUAACAAAACCUUAAAAAAAAAAACAAAAACUGUUUUUAUUGUCUGUCUCAUAUGCUUGUGUGAUGUGUGUAUGUAGGAAUGUAUGCUGCAGUGCACGUGUGGAGGUCAGAGGACAGCUUUGUGGAGUUGUGGAGUCAACUCUUUCCUUAUACAUUGAUGUGGAUUUUGGGGAUCUGAUUCAGGUCACCAGGCUUGGCAGCAGGCACUUUUACUCAUGUAGUCAUCUUGCUGGUCCUUUCAAAAAAUCUUAUACCUUAUAGUACUUGUCAUAUUUUUUGGUUAAUUCACACACACACACACACACACACACACACACACACACACACACACUUUCUGCCUGCCUCUGCCUCCUGAGUGCUGGAGUUGCCUAAUUUGAUAAGAAAUUUGUUCAGAAGUUGUGUUAUUUAAUAGCCCUCUGAUUAUUUCAGUGAGCACCACACAUAGUAGGUCCUCAGUAGAGGGUGUUUUUGUGUGUGUGUGUUUGUCAUAUGUGGCAUAGGGUGUCUUCCUCCAUAAUCCACCUUAUUUUUUGAGACAAGUUCUAAUACUGAAAAUGGUGCUCAGUGAUUGGCUAGACUCUCAGCAGCUGUAGGGAUCUGUUUGUCUCUUUCUCCCAGUUGGGCUGGAGUUACCUUCUCAACUUUUAUGUGGGUGUUGGGGACCUGAACCCAAACUCAUAUAGCAACAACUUUACCCACUAAGAAAUCUCAGUAGCCCCCGCUUUUUCAUUUUUCUCCCCCCACUUACCAAUCCAGGUUGGCCUCCAGUGUGCCCCUGCCUUCUAAAUACUGGGGUCACUGGCAUGCUUUACCAUAGUAGAGUUUUUGGUGAUUGAACAUCAUCAAAACUGCUUAUGUAUAGGUAGCAAUUUUAAUAUCUUGGCUUAUUAAAUGGAUCCUUUUAAAGAAUAUUUAUUCUUGUAUUUUAUGUGAAUGAGUGCUCUAUUUGCACAUAUGCCUGCAUGACUGAAGAGGGCAUCAGGCAGAAGAGGCC
ensembl:lncRNA